GGAGGGUUGCGCCGAAUGGUAAGGCACUAGUCUUGAAAACUAGCGGGUGAAAGCCCUUAGAGGUUCGAGUCCUCUACCCUCCG
rnacentral:tRNA from 1 species